rnacentral:rRNA from 1 species
UCUCCUACGGGGCGCAGCAGUAAGGGAUAUUGGUCAAUGGGGGAAAGCCUGACGCAGCGACGCCGCGUGAGGGACGAAGGUCUUCGGAUCGUAAACCUCUGUCAGCAGGGAAGAACGGUCACUGUGCUAAUCAGCAGUGAAUUGACGGUACCUGCAAAGGAAGCACCGGCUAACUCCGUGCCAGCAGCCGCGGUAAUACGGAGGGUGCGAGCGUUAAUCGGAAUUACUGGGCGUAAAGCGCUCGUAGGCGGUAUGUCAAGUCAAGGGUGAAAUCCCCGCGCUCAACGUGGGAACUGCCUUUGAAA